UACGUAGGGACCAAGCGUUGUUCGGAUUUACUGGGCGUAAAGGGCGCGUAGGCGGCAAUUCAAGUCAUCUGUGAAAUCUCCGGGCUUAACUCGGAACGGUCAGAUGAUACUGCUUUGCUAGAGUACAGAAGGGGCAAUCGGAAUUCCCGGUGUAGCGGUGAAAUGCGCAGAUAUCGGGAGGAACACCGGUGGCGAAGGCGGUUCUCUGGGCCUUACCUGACGCUGAGGAGCGAAAGCGUGGGGAGCGAACAGG
rnacentral:rRNA from 1 species